rnacentral:rRNA from 1 species
CAAUAGCGUAUAUUAAAGUUGUUGCAGUUAAAAAGCUCGUAGUUGGAUUUGUGGCGUACGGUGGGUUCCGGGCACUUGUUGUCUGAGUAACUUGCUGUUGCCAUCCUUGGGUGGAACCUGUGUGGCAUUAGGUUGUCGUGCAGGGGAUGCCCAUCAUUUACUGUGAAAAAAUUAGAGUGUUCAAAGCAGGCUUAUGCCGUUGAAUAUAUUAGCAUGGAAUAAUGAGAUAGGACUUUUUUGCUAUUUUGUUGGUUUGCGCAAAGAGGUAAUGAUUAAUAGGGACAGUUGGGGGUAUUCGUAUUCCAUUGUCAGAGGUGAAAUUCUUGGAUUUUUGGAAGACGAACUACAGCGAAAGCAUUUGCCAAGGAUGUUUUCAUUAA